GACAAGAGCAGAUAGAAUGUGCAGGUGUAGUUGGAAGCAUGGUUAGUAGCAGAGACUCGCCCUCCUUGAAGGAGACUUUGGCAGCUGUGGGUCAGAGUGCACGUAAGAGUUUUUCCAGGAAAAUUCGAAGGCUUUCUCCAAGAUGACCUCUGUGUUUUUCCUUUGGGACCUGGGACUAAAGGAAUUUUACAUUUGGGUUUUCUGUGGACAGACAGACAAUGAAAAACCUUUGAGUCUGUAGAGCGCGGGAGGCUUAGAUGCUGUCACUAAGAAUGUGCUUUUCUCUAGAUGCUGGAUGAGGAGGACACUGACAAAGACGGGAUGAGUUUGGAGGUCGACACUCCAGUGACGAACCAUCGGGGUGACGACGACGAUGACGAAGAAGAUCUCCCCGAGAUAGUGCUGGAUGACGUGCCUGCGGUGAGGGUGGCGGGACGGCCUCCAUUCGCUCCGCGGGUAAGUUGGGUUUUUAGUCUGAGCUCGCAGUGUUGCUCUAUUUCCCCUCCGUGGACAUUAAGUUAUGACAGCCUGAGCCUGCACGUUCCAGACCAUGUGGACGGUUCCGAGGGUUGGGACUCCAUGUCAGGCGCGUCUGUUGCCAACUCCCGAUGCCUGCUUCCGCAGGGCAAUGCGAUAACAACACCUGUCCCAGCCUGCAGAGGACAGAGCUCCUUCUCCAGAAGCAUCUUUUCCUCGAGGGAAAGAGUUCUGUCAUCUCCAACUGACAUGGCCUUGGACAUCCCGUCGUCUAGGACAAGUUCUUGCCUUUGUCCCCGAGGAGGGUUUGCUCUGCCUUUGCUGGGUUCUCUG
rnacentral:lncRNA from 1 species